rnacentral:tRNA from 1 species
GGCCCAGUGGGCAAUUUGGUAAAGCCGCUCGACUAAGAAUCGAGAGAUCUUGCCGGUUCGACUCCGGCCUGGGCCA